UACGGAGGGUGCGAGCGUUGUCCGGAAUCACUGGGCGUAAAGGGCGCGUAGGUGGCUCGUGAAGCGUGCGGUGAAAGUCCGAGGCUCAACCUCGGAUCGGCCGUGCGGACUCGCGGGCUCGAGCGUUGUAGAGGCGGGUGGAAUUCCGGGUGUAGCGGUGGAAUGCGUAGAGAUCAGGUGGAACACCGAUGGCGAAGGCAGCACUCUGGCCGAGUUACUGACGCUGAGGCGCGAAAGCUGGGGGAGCGAACGGG
rnacentral:rRNA from 1 species